GGAACACCUUUGGAGGGACCUCUUGGGACAGCUAUAAGGAGCAGCUCUACUUUUGAUUGCAGCUGUAGGGUGUGUGGUGCAGAGCAGUUCCAGUGUGUGUUGUGUUGUCUGGUGUGUCUUCUGUGUCUUUGGCAUCCCUUGGAUCAGAUCACUCUGGCUUUUUACCCUCAAGGGGCUUGUUGCAAGUGUUGGCUGUCACCUCUUGGUUCUCAAAUACUUGUUUCUUGGCAUAAUGCCGAUAUCAUUUGCUCUUUUACUGGCAAGCUUCGUUGUGUCUUGGAAUUGCAUCUUGGAAGUAUUGAGCCAGACAUCUUUUGAGGCCUUUUUCUUGGCUGUAUUGUCAUCCAUCCUUUCCAGCCAUGAGCUGUAAUGUCCCAGGGCUUGUAAGGUUGUAAGGAUAUGUGAAGCAUUCUGAAUGUGGGAUUGUCUCACAGCUGUCUUGAUCAUCAUGACCAACAGUUCUUAGAACUAUUACAAUCUUUUCUUCUGCUCCUUAAACCCUCUUCCAUCUACCAUUGCCAUACUCUUGGUCAUCUCUUUUGGUCUUGUCUUGAUCAUUGCCAUUUUUCUUCUCACUGAGAGCUUUUUUAUCAUCCUCGUGUCACACUGUUUGUUGUUUGAGUGUUUGUGUUUAGCCUGGAACUGCUCUGCCCUGGGGAAUAGACUGGGUGGUAGGUGGAGUAGAAAGAAGACUUUGCAGGUGAUCUUUUGCUGUGCUUAGCCACUUGAGCCACACCUUGGAUGGAGCAACCAUCAGGGUUUGGUGGAGCAGUACAGCAGCAUCUCGAGUUUUGUAGUUGUUUGUCUCAAUGCAUGCUGUUGUUGGGUCCUAGGUGGUCUGCCUUGAGAAAUGAGAGCUUAGGAAAGGUUAAGCUUUCCCUGUGUGUCUGGGUGGCUUUGACAAAUGGUUCUUUGGGCUGGUGAGCCAGAUGAGUACUGGCAAGUGAGAUGAGCAUUGAUUCCAGUACAGAACUAGAUGCUACUGGACUUGUUGUAUUAGUGAUGAGGCUAUAAGCAUCCUUUUUUGGGUGUUUUACAGGUGGUCUGCAGCAUGCAAACUGCUCAUCCAACAUGACAGAGAUGCUUGUGAGAAGCUGCCACAGUCAAGUGGCUUCAGAUGGAAACUACUACGGCAAGGCGAUGCCUUUGGACCCUGUGCUGGAAGUAAAGUGCGAUAUCAGCUGUCAAGGUCAAGUAAGCAAGGCAGUCCACUUGUAUUACAGGGCUGAACCCCCCUGCCAACCAGCUGAUGGAGCCUCUUUGCUGCCCUUGAGCUGCUAUUACGAGCCAUCCAGAAGUAUUAUGGGAUUCUGUGAUGAAGCCUUUACCUUUUCCACUUGAAGGUGCCAUCCAGAUAUACCGUGUGAUGAUGGCAUCAGCCUCUGAGCACUGCUGGAGUGUGGGGCUGAGGACCCGGACAUUCCUAGGAGAUGCUGACUGAGAGAUAACAACCUGGUGAUGGCAGGAACUUCCCAGCUGGUGAGGCAGCCUUCUUUUGUACCUGACAUGAAUUUGCAUUGCCAGACACCUGAGAGGAAUUAAUGCUGGAUACUGGCAGUCAAGUUUGAUGGAAUGAGGUGGUCCACUUGCAAACACCCAGGGGAGGCCAGGCCCUGCCACUGCCCUAGGCAUGCCAAGGAAUAGAGGCAGACAGGAAUUCUCUGGGCCAUCCAUCCAGAUCAUCCAGAUUAGAUGAAGAUUUGAGGUAUCUGUGAGCAGGUAUAGAGGUGACAUUUGGAAACAGCAGCUGCCAUGGGGAAUGUAUCAACAUCCACAGUGCUGAUGUGCUCUUUUCUGUCGAGGAUGGAUUUUGGCCACUUGUCUUCAGAGAGCUAAGUGUUCAGACUGGUGGUUGGGAGGAGGAAAACCUUUGGGAGUCAAUUUGAAGUUAGUUUUGAGGGGAGGGCUCUUGUGGGACAGACCCUUUGGGACUAAAGGGGGAGGUUUUUUCCUCAGCGUCACCCAAGCCUUUAUAGAGCUGUUCCAACCCAUCUCUGUGUUGUCAUGAGCUUUGUGUCAUCAGCCUUUGAGUCUUGAUGUCAUCCUGGAUCUUUUUGUCUGAGGAGCCCACCUUUGGGUCUGGCACGAUGGCCACGGUCACCAUUUUACCUGCU